GGUUGCUUGUUCAACCCCCUACAACGCCAAGGGCUUGAUGAAGGCUGCUAUCAGAAGUGAUAACCCUGUGAUUCUUUUUGAGCAUGUUUUGCUCUACAACCUCAAGGAGAGAAUUCCAGACGAAGAGUAUGUGUUGAAUCUUGAAGAAGCAGAGAUGGUACGACCUGGGGAGCAUGUAACCAUUCUAACUUAUUCCAGGAUGAGGUAUCAUGUAAUGCAGGCUGCCAAGACACUUGUGAACAAGGGUUAUGAUCCCGAGGUCAUUGAUAUUAGGUCUCUGAAACCAUUUGAUCUUUACACCAUCGGGAAGUCAGUGAAAAAGACUCAUCGUGUGCUCAUUGUCGAGGAAUGCAUGCGCACAGGAGGUAUUGGGGCCAGCUUGACAGCCGCUAUAACUGAGAACUUUCACGACUAUCUAGAUGCCCCAAUCGUAUGUCUGUCGUCACAGGAUGUGCCAACCCCUUAUGCUGGGACGUUAGAGAAUUGGACUGUUGUCCAACCUCCCCAGAUUGUUACUGCAGUUGAACAACUUUGCCAGUGAUCAAGUGGUAGAAGUUUUAUGAUAAUCAUGCCAUUAUGUUCAGUUGCUUAUGUCAUAAUUUAAGGCUCAACUUCUGAUCGAUUUUUAUUGUCUGAUUUUGCUAGAGAUUUUAUUUUUUGGAACUUGGGAGUCCUAGUUAAGGUGAGAUGUUUGUUGUUUUGCCUUCUACCCACACCAAAAUGGUGCUUGGAAUCGUUAUGUACUGGUAAGGUAACU
rnacentral:misc_RNA from 1 species